ensembl:lncRNA
GGGGGAUUUGGGGUCAUUGGGGUCCUUUGGGGUCACUGGGGAGGAUUUGGGGUCCUUUGGGGUCAUUGGGGUUCUUUGGGGUCAUUGGGGUUUUUGGGGUCAUUGGGGGGGAGGUUUGGGGUCCUUUGGGCUCCUCUGGGGUCAUUGGGGGGAUUUGGGGUCAUUGGGAUUUUUGGGGUCAUUGGGGUCAUUGAGGUCCUUUGGGGGAUUUGGGGUCCUUUGGGGUCCUUUGGGGUCAUUGGGAGGGAUUUGGGGUCCUUUGGGGUCCUUUGGGGCCAUUGGGGUCCUUUGGGGUCAUUGGGAGGGAUUUGGGGUCCUUUGGGGUUUUUGGGGUCAUUGGGAGGGAUUUGGGGUCCUUUGGGGUCCUUUGGGGCCAUUGGGGUCCUUUGGGGCCAUUGGGAGGGAUUUGGGGUCCUUUGGGGUUUUUGGGGUCACUGUGGGGAUUUGGGGUCCUUUGUGGUUUUUGGGGUAUUGGGGUCACUGUGGGGUAUUGGGGUCCUUUAGGGUCAAUUGGGUUUUUGGGGUCACUGAGGGGUUUUUGGGGUCAUUGGGGUCCUUUGGGGUUUUUGGGG